rnacentral:tRNA from 1 species
GGAGAGGUGCCCGAGCGGCCGAAGGGACGCGCUUGGAAAGCGCGUGUAGCCCCACAAGGGCUACCGUGGGUUCGAAUCCCACCCUCUCCGCCA